GACGAACGCUGGCGGCGUGCCUAAUACAUGCAAGUGGGACGCAAGGGAACACACUGUGCUUGCACACCGUGUUUUCUUGAGUCGCGAACGGGUGAGUAACGCGUAGGUAACCUGCCUAUUAGCGGGGGAUAACUAUUGGAAACGAUAGCUAAUACCGCAUAAUAUUAAUUAUUGCAUGAUAAUUGAUUGAAAGAUGCAAGCGCAUCACUAGUAGAUGGACCUGCGUUGUAUUAGCUAGUUGGUAAGGUAAGAGCUUACCAAGGCGACGAUACAUAGCCGACCUGAGAGGGUGAUCGGCCACACUGGGACUGAGACACGGCCCAGACUCCUACGGGAGGCAGCAGUAGGGAAUCUUCGGCAAUGGACGAAAGUCUGACCGAGCAACGCCGCGUGAGUGAAGAAGGUUUUCGGAUCGUAAAAGCUCUGUUGUAAAGUCAAAGAAACGUGUGUGAGAAGUGGAAAAGUUCCAC
rnacentral:rRNA from 1 species